rnacentral:RNase_MRP_RNA from 1 species
GUCGAGUCGAGGAAAGUCCGGACUUCACAGAGCAGGGUGAUUGCUAACGGCAAUCCGAGGUGACUCGCGGGAAAGUGCCACAGAAAACAGACCGCCAUCCUCGUGGUGGCAAGGGUGAAACGGUGCGGUAAGAGCGCACCAGCAUUCCGGGUGACCGGGGUGGCUAGGCAAACCCCACCCGAAGCAAGGCCAAGAAGGCCGCACCGAAAGUGCGGCCGCGCAGGCGCUUGAGGGUUGCUCGCCCGAGCCUGCGGGUAGGCCGCUCGAGGCACCCGGUAACGGUGUGUCCAGAUGGAUGGUCGCCGCC